AGUGAACGCUGGCGGUAGGCCUAACACAUGCAAGUCGAACGGCAGCACAGUAAGAGUUUGCUCUUACGGGUGGCGAGUGGCGGACGGGUGAGGAAUACAUCGGAAUCUACUUUUUCGUGGGGGAUAACGUAGGGAAACUUACGCUAAUACCGCAUACGACGUACGGGUGAAAGCAGGGGAUCUUCGGACCUUGCGCGAUUGAAUGAGCCGAUGUCGGAUUAGCUAGUUGGCGGGGUAAAGGCCCACCAAGGCGACGAUACGUAGCUGAUCUGAGAGGAUGAUCGGCCACACUGGAACUGAGACACGGUCCAGACUCCUACGGGAGGCAGCAGUGGGGAAUAUUGGGCAAAGGGCGCAAGCCUGAUCCAGCCAUACCGCGUGGGUGAAGAAGGCCUUCGGGUUGUAAAGCCCUUUUGUUGGGAAAGAAAAGCAGCAGGUUAAUACCCCGCUGUUCUGACGGUACCCAAAGAAUAAGCACCGGCUAACUUCGUG
rnacentral:rRNA from 1 species